AUUUGGUUCUUUAAAAGUCUCUACGUAAACCGGACCAAUGGCGGGAAAGAUUGUUGACUUUAAACCCUGCCUACUUCUUUCUUGUUUCGGAUUUCAGAUUCUGAAACUACAGCAAACUCUCAGCGCUCUUAGGCUAGCUCCGCGACGGCUCCCAAGGCUGGAGACUCCAAAUCGAAUCCUCUUCGGACUGCCACGCUGCAAAAGACGUCCUGGGAUUGUAUUCCAAUUACAUGACGUCACUGAAUGCUGCUGCUAAGUCACUUCAGUCGUGUCCGACUCUGUGCGACCCCAUAGACAGCAGCCCAUCAGGGUCCCCCGUCCCUGGGAUUCUCCAGAAGGACAUCCAGGGAUGUGAUCCCGAGAAGACUCAACCAGCCUUUUCUGGCUUUGAAAGUGGAGGAAGAGGCCCAUGAGCUAAGGAAUGCAAGGGGCCUCUAGAAGCUGAAGAAGGCAAGGGAAAGUUUCUCCCCCAGAGCUUCCGGAAAGAAAACAGCUUUGCCAACAAACACCUGGAUUUUAGCCUAGUGAGACCCAUGUCAGAAUUCCGGACUCCAGAAC
ensembl:lncRNA